rnacentral:rRNA from 1 species
AUUGAACGCUGGCGGAAUGCUUUACACAUGCAAGUCGAACAGCAGCACGGGGGCAGCCCUGGUGGCGAGUGGCGAACGGGUGAGUAAUACAUCGGAACGUGCCCGGUCGUGGGGGAUAACGUAGCGAAAGUUACGCUAAUACCGCAUACGAUCUGAGGAUGAAAGCGGGGACCUUCGGGCCUCGCGCGAUCGGAGCGGCCGAUGUCAGAUUAGGUAGUUGGUGGGGUAAAGGCCUACCAAGCCGACGAUCUGUAGCUGGUCUGAGAGGACGACCAGCCACACUGGGACUGAGACACGGCCCAGACUCCUACGGGAGGCAGCAGUGGGGAAUUUUGGACAAUGGGCGCAAGCCUGAUCCAGCCAUUCCGCGUGCAGGACGAAGGCCUUCGGGUUGUAAACUGCUUUUGUACGGAACGAAAAGGCUCUGGCUAAUACCUGGGGCUCAUGACGGUACCGUAAGAAUAAGCACCGGCUAACUACGUG